CCAGAUAUGGUUUUACAGCUCCAUUUAUAACCCCACAAAUAGCCCCUAGAAUGAAAAGGUCUGUUUUUGCCUUAUUUGGAAGGCUCAUGAAUAGUAAUAUGGUGCUCCGCUCUGAUUGGCUGUUUCACUGUUCGGCUCCUUCCAGUAGCUCACACUGAUAGCGAACAAAUCUGUACUGUACGGCGUGAACGAUGGAGAGUUUUGGUAUUCAACCUUAUAUGUUUGAGCCUGUUUCUGACGAAGAUGCAGAUGUAGAGGAACAACCAAUUUUGUUGCGAUUGGCCAUAGACGUUUCUGAGUGGUUUGUGCUGAGUUUCACUGUAUCAAAGAAAGCGACUCACACUAGCAAGAUUUCAGAGACGAUGCAUGACAUUGAAUGUUUAUGAUCUUCCGGAAACAAGCUCUUUGUGCUCUCCCAGUGUACGUGUGAGGAUGACCCACAGUUCUUCAAGACUUGAAAUGAAGAGUUGGCCGAGCCAGAAAUCACUGACAUCAACUGACACAAACAUCACUCAUGUUGAUUUUGUCAUCAUGGACAACGAAACAACUAUGAGCCCUGCAAACACUGCAGUGUGAUGGAAGAUGAUCUUCCAGUGUGUUUGACAUGUUCAGAAAUACAGUCACAAGAUUUAAAAAAAAGUUGAAUACACUGUAAACCAUAAUACUCAAAAUACUUAAUUGGUUUGAGUAGGACAAACUUAA